rnacentral:rRNA from 1 species
AUUGAACGCUGGCGGCAGGCCUAACACAUGCAAGUCGAGCGGAUGAAGGGAGCUUGCUCCUGGAUUCCGCGGCGGACGGGUGAGUAAUGCCUAGGAAUCUGCCUGGUAGUGGGGGAUAACGUCCGGAAACGGGCGCUCAUACCGCAUACGUCCUGAGGGAGCAAGUGGGGGAUCUUCGGACCUCACGCUCUCCGCUGCGCCUAGGUCGGCUUAGCUAGUUGGCGGGGUAAAGGCCUACCCAGGCGACGAUCCGUAACUGGUCUGAGAGGAUGAUCAGUCACACUAGAACUGAGACACGGUCCAGACUCAUAGGGGAGGCAGCAGUGGGGAAUAUUGGACGAUGGGCGAAAGCCUGAUCCAGGAAUGCCGCGUGUGGGAAGAAGGUCUUCGGAGUGUAAAGCACUUUAAGUGGGGAGGAAGGGCAGUAAGUUAAUACCGGGCUGUUGUGACGUGACCAACAGAAUAAGCACCGGCUAACUUCGUG